AUUUGGCUUAGUUAGGGGGCUGAGAUUAAAUCUUUUGAUGCUUUCUGUUAAGGCCUUUUGAAAGAACUAUUUUGUUCUUGUUCAUCAAUUGUCCUUUAAGCAUCUUCUGGACAUAC